AUUGAACGCUGGCGGCAGGCCUAACACAUGCAAGUCGAGCGGAUGAAGGGAGCUUGCUCCUGGAUUCAGCGGCGGACGGGUGAGUAAUGCCUAGGAAUCUGCCUGGCAGUGGGGGAUAACGUCAGGAAACGGGCGCUAAUACCGCAUACGUCCUGAGGGAGAAAGUGGGGGAUCUUCGGACCUCACGCUAUCAGAUGAGCCUAGGUCGGAUUAGCUAGUUGGUAGGGUAAAGGCCUACCAAGGCGACGAUCCGUAACUGGUCUGAGAGGAUGAUCAGUCACACUGGAACUGAGACACGGUCCAGACUCCUACGGGAGGCAGCAGUGGGGAAUAUUGGACAAUGGGCGAAAGCCUGAUCCAGCCAUGCCGCGUGUGUGAAGAAGGUCUUCGGAUUGUAAAGCACUUUUAGUUGGGAGGAAGGGAAGUAAGUUAAUACCUUGCUGUUUUGACGUUACCAACAGAAUAAGCACCGGCUAACUUCGUG
rnacentral:rRNA from 1 species